rnacentral:lncRNA from 1 species
UGCAUUUGAAAACUGUCUCUAUUUUCUACAGAGAGAUGAGGGAGAUACAGCAAAAGGAGGAAGGGAGAGAAGGAAAGAGUGAACUUUGAUCCAGCCCAGUUGGAAUGGAAGCCAGUGGGAAAAGUCGUGUAAGGACCCCACUGUGGUGAGCCGUUUCUGUGAACUGUGGCCGCCAUUACAAGAUGGCGCUGGCUCCGCUGUGGUUUGUGAUAAACAACUCCUUGUUUUGGGAGAGUUGGGCUGGGGCGCUCGGGUGAAGAGGUAGUAGUAGAAGAGUAGAAGUAGAG